AUCGCUUCUUGGCCUUUUGGCUAAGAUCAAGUGUAGUAAAAGUGCUUUUGUUUUUAAUGAACAAAUUUUGCCUUCUAUAAAUCUCA
rnacentral:snRNA from 1 species